GGGGACAACUACAGCAGAAAACAAGGCCUAUACAGGGCAUAAGGACCAUUAGAAAAAUUUACUCCUUCAGAGGAGCGUUGUCUCAGGAUGCGAAAGAGCUGCU
rnacentral:lncRNA from 1 species